rnacentral:rRNA from 1 species
AUGUCUCUGAGUCGAAUGAUGGAAAUUGCCACCAAGUAUGCUAAUGGUGAAGAGGAGGAUCAGCUCCGGAGUGGCAAGCACAAAACAGUCGCCCACGAAACCGGAGGAGGGAACUCCAGUUGGAAGCAGAAGCGCAAAGCCGAGCCAGCUGAUCCUGGAGAAGCCUUAGCCGUGACUCAAGGAAAGUUCAAGGGGAAGCCCAAAGGGCCAUGGAACCCCAAGAAAGUAAAAGAUCAAGAUGGAAAUGAUGUGUUGGAUUUACCAUGCCACAUUCACACCAAAAAAGGCGAAGAGGGUAAUCUCAUAUACCCGAAACAUACCACUCGACAGUGUCGGCUCCUAAUCCAGCAGUUCCGAGAGAAACAACCCAAAGAGAAGGAAAAAGAGUCGGACAAAGUUGAGGAUAAAGAGGAAGAUGAUGAUGGAUACCCCCACGUCAAUUCCACUCUGAUGAUUUUUGCUGACAUUGAGAGCAAAAGUCGACUGAAACUCAUCAACAAAGAAGUGAACAUGGUCGCUCCGGUGACACCCAGUUAUUUGAAGUGGUCUCAGACUGCCAUUACAUUCGACCAGUCUGAUCACCCAACGCACAUAGCCACCCCUGGGAGGCAAGCGUUGGUGGUCGACCCAGUUGUCGAAGGCACUCGGUUAACUAAGGUUCUGAUGGAUGGUGGCAGUGGCUUGAAUAUACUGUAUGCGGAGACCUUGAAGGGAAUGGGCAUUCCGAUGUCCAGACUCAGUGAAAGCAAUAUGAGUUUCCAUGGGGUUAUUCCUGGCAAGAAGGCUGAGUCACUCGGACAGAUCGCCCUCGAUGUGGUUUUUGGCGAUUCCAAGAAUUACCGCAAAGAAAAGUUGACGUUUGAAGUCGUGGAUUCUAAAGUGCUUAUCACGCUAUUCUGGGCAGGCCGGCUUAUGCAUGUUUUAUGGCUCGACCAUGUUACGUGUACCUCAAAUUGA